UACGUAGGGCGCAAGCGUUGUCCGGAAUUAUUGGGCGUAAAGAGCUCGUAGGCGGCUUGUCACGUCGGUUGUGAAAGCCCGGGGCUUAACCCCGGGGUCUGCAGUCGAUACGGGCAGGCUAGAGUGUGGUAGGGGAGAUCGGAAUUCCUGGUGUAGCGGUGAAAUGCGCAGAUAUCAGGAAGAACACCAAUGGCGAAAGCAGCUCUCUGGGACGGUACUGACGCUGAGACGCGAAAGCGUGGGGAGCGAACAGG
rnacentral:rRNA from 1 species